CCAAAAUCGGCACCACGACGCCGGUGCCCAAAACGGGCUGAAACAGCCCCAAAACAGCACCGCGACGCCAGCACCCAGAAUCAGCUAAAACCACCCCAAAACCGAGGCCGGGCUUGGGACCCCGAAACGGGCAAAACGGCCCCAAAAGCGGCGCCGGGACCCUGAAACGGGCAAAAGUGCCCCAAAACCGGUGGCCCCCCCCGARGGGACAUGUGACGCGGUGACGGGGCCCCAAAGCGGCGCCGGGACCCCAAAUCCGGCGUUUAGACCCCGAAACGGGAGCUGAGGAGCCACCGCCAGUGUCACCCAGGUCCCCGCCCAUGGCCGAGGGGUGCUCGGGCGCUGUCCCCCCGCGUCACCCCCCCGGGGACGUCCCCGAGGCGGGUGGCACCUCCCCCGGUGUCCCCGGGGACGUCCCCGCCUGGGCCAGCGGCAUCACCAUCACUGUCACCGCGGCCCCGGGGGACGAGGACGUCCCCAGCUCCGGGGACGAGGACGUCGGGGACGCGGGGCGCGGGGACGUCCCUGCCCUGGGACGCGGUGACCCUGGGGACGAGGACGUGGGGGACGGGGAUGUCCCAGCUCCUGGGGACAAGGACAUUGGGGACAGGAGUGUCCCAGCUGCAAAGGACAUUGGGGACGGGGAUGUCCCAGCUCCUGGGGACAAGGACAUCGGGGACAGAGGUGUCCCAAGCCCAAGGGACAUUGGGGACAGGGAUGUCCCAGCUCUGAGUGACAGGGACAAGGACAGCGGGGACCGGGAUGCCCCAAUCCCUGCGGACAUUGGGGACAGGGAUGUCAUGGCCCUAAGGGACAUUGGGGACAAGGGUGUUGGGGACAGGGAGAUCACUGCCCUGAGAGAUGUUGGGGACAAGGACACCGGGGACCUGGUGGCCCUAGGGGACAUUGGGGACAUCCCAGCUCCUGGAGACUGGGACAUUGGGGACAGAGAUGCCAUCGCCCUAUGGGACAUUGAGGACAAGGGCAUUGGGGACAGGGAUGUCACCGCCCUAAGGGACCUUGGGCACAAGGACUUUGGGGCCAGAGACGUCACAGCCCUGAGGGACCUUGGGGACGUCCCGGCCACCGGGGACAAGGGUGCCGCAGUCCUGAGGGACGUUGGGGACAGGGACGUCACUGCRCUGAGGGACGUUGGGGACAKWGGGGACAUGGACGUUGGGGACAAGGACAAGGAUGUUGGGGACAAAGACGGGGACGAGGACAUCGGGGACGAGGACAUUGGAGACGACGUUGGGGACAUGGACGUUGGGGACAAGGAUGUCGGGGACGAGGACACGGGUGACACCGCAGCCGCCAGUGGCAUCACCAUCACGGUGACGGCCCCCCCCGUGGAGGACGAGGACGAGGACGAGGACCUCGCUGGGGACAGCGGCAUCAUCGCCGGCGGUGACAUCAUCGCYGCCCCCCCUGGGGACACCCCCGCUGGUGACGUCAUCGCGGGGGGUGACACCGUUCCUGCGCACCCUGGCGGUGGCCCUGCUGCUGACGCGGCUGGCGGCGAUGACAUCGUUUGCUCCCUCCCUGGUGAUGUCAUCGCCGAGGAUGAUGUCACUGCCCCGAUGGCCGGGGAUGACUUCGUUGUUGACCUCGUUGCCAGCGAUGACGUCACUGCUUUCCUCCCYGAGGAAGAGCUCGCCAGUGAUGUCAUCGCCAAGGGUGAUGUCAUUUCCUCCCUCCCCGGGACUGAUACUGCUUCCGCUCUUCCCGGUGACGUCACGCCUGGGAGUGACCUCACCGAUGACAUCAUCACCAGGGACGGCGUCCCUUCCUCCCGCUCGGGGGGAAUCCCCAGUGAUGAUGUCAUCGCUGGGCACCGCAUCACUCCCUCCUUUCCCGGGGAUGACCUUGCCGUUGACAUCAUCCCUGGAGGUGACCUCGCUGGUGACGUCAUCGGGGAGGAAGCCGUCGCCGCUUCUGUUCCUGGGGCCGCCCUCGCUGGUGAUGUCAUCGCCGGGGUUGAUGUCACUUCCUCCCUCCCGGGAGGCGUUGCUGCACGAGGCGCCAAACCUGACGACCUCACUGGUGACAUCAGCCAGGGGAAUGAUGUCAUCGCCUUCCUUCCGGGAGAUGUCUCGGGGGGCGACGCCCCCUCUUGGGAUGACUUCAUUGAUGAUGUCAUCACCAAGGAUGACAUCACUUCCGCCACCCCCGGAAGCAUUGCUGGGCACGAUGUCACCGCCGAGGGCRACAUCACAGGUGACAUCACAGCGGGACCCGGCCUCCCUGGGGACACCGCCCGGCGUGACGUCACUUCCGCCCCCGCGGAUGACCUCAGCGGUGACAUCAGCGCCGGGGGGGAGGAGCCGCCCCCUCCCGCCACGAAGGAAGCCGCCGCCCCGGCGGGUGACCUCACCGAUGACAUCACCGCCGACGCGCCCAGGGAGGGCGUGGCCAGCCGAGGCGAC
rnacentral:lncRNA from 1 species